CAUGGUAGCAGUGGGCUUGUCACUGCCAUUUGGUUUAUGACAUCGCCGGAUAAAUUAAGCCCGGGAAGGUGGCAGGGUUGAAAGACACAGGGACCUCAGCUUUCCCACACGGCAGUGAUGGGAUAACUAGGGCAAUGGAUAAAAGGCGGACCCGGAGCGCAACCCGACCUUGGUUGUAAAAAUGCCCAUGGAGCUGACGCAAAGCCGGAUCCAGAAGAUUUGGCUCCCCAAUGAUAACUUCCCUGCGCUGCCCCGCAGAUUUUGGACUGUUCAGAAAUUGGAGGAUGAGCUUCCCCGGGCAAUGUUUGAACUGAGCUGCUUUUACUGUUCCGGCAACCACUCCUCUCUAGCACACAGGGACUUCCCUUCGCAGCAUAAGUUACUCUGCUUCUGAUUGGGUAAAUCAGGAUUCCAUCAAACUGCUCCACCCGCAGCAGUUUCCGGAAAGGCUGAAGUUUGACUCUAAAUAUAUUGCAAUCGAGUAUCUGGCUUCUACUGCUAAGCGAUGUGAA